rnacentral:rRNA from 1 species
UACGUAGGGCGCAAGCGUUAUCCGGAAUUAUUGGGCGUAAAGAGCUCGUAGGCGGUUUGUCGCGUCUGCUGUGAAAUCCCGAGGCUCAACCUCGGGCCUGCAGUGGGUACGGGCAGACUAGAGUGCGGUAGGGGAGAUUGGAAUUCCUGGUGUAGCGGUGGAAUGCGCAGAUAUCAGGAGGAACACCGAUGGCGAAGGCAGAUCUCUGGGCCGUAACUGACGCUGAGGCGCGAAAGCGUGGGGAGCAAACAGG